GACACCCUCGCGAGCCCUCGCCGUGGACCCGGCCCCCGCGCGGGGCACACUGGGGGUUGUAGUGCGCCCGCGGGCCGGCCGGGUGCUGAGGCCGCGGGGCGGGGGACCCCACCGAGCCGGAAGCUUUCACACUUCGCUGUCCUGGCCGAGACUCCACACCUAGGCUGGUGGCAAUAUGCAAAUCAGUACGUGACGGCGCGACUAGCGUGUUCUCUGAAGAGAAUUGGCUUUGAAAGACACUUCCUGGGAGGAAGGGCGACUCCAGCUGAGGCUAAGCCUGAGAGACUGUCCUGCUUUCCACCCUCUCCGAAGGCUUAUUGUUCAUCUUUUAUUUUGGCGUUGGCUGCUCUCCAGAACCUCAGGCUUUUGAACCACACAUUUAAAUGAGAAGAAUGAAGGCAGCUUCGUGGAAGGGGAUGAGUCUGCCGAUUCAUGGAGACCAGUGAACAGCACAUUCUCGAGGGUGGAAAAGCCUCUCCUUGUCUUCGUAGUGGCCGGUCCGAAGUCCUCCAAGUGUGACGUUUGACACCUGCCAUCAGUUGGUCUCCUGUUAGGUACUACAUCAGAGCCCGUGCUCCACAGUCGUGUUAAGGAAAGGAAAAGGUGUGGCUUGCCGUGACUCUGGGACCGCAAGGGGACAGCUUCCUCAGAAAUGUGCCUUUUCCUCUGGCCUCUGCAGUGAGGCCCACAUCCUCCUGGUCACUUUUCUUCUGCGCAGCACCCUGGGGUGAGGUCUGCCGUCAGUGUGGUGUGCAGUUGGGGCUCUGAGCUCGGGGGGGCUCACGGGGCUCCCCGUGUAGCUGAGCCUCACUGGUGAUGCAGCGCCUUCUGCCGCUGCGCUCUGGCCCAGGUGGCCCGCCGCUCGGCGCGACCGGGUGUCACACAUCAGGCCCCCGCAGCGCCUAGCUCAGCCACCCGCCAUCCACUCCUGCGGAACAGAUUUACAUAUGGCUGGUGUGUUAGUUUUCUAGAACUCAUGUCACAAACUACACAAACACCGUGGCCGGAACAACAGAAAAUAGACUCAAGAUUUUCUCACUGUCUCGGAGACCAGAAGUCUGAAACCAAGGCGUCAGCAGGACCGUACUCCCCCGAAGGCUCAGGGGCAGAGUCCUCCGUGGCCCUGUCCCUGCUCCUGGUGCCGCUGGUAAUCCCGGGAGCUGCUUGGCGUGAGGCUGCGUCACUCCGGUCUUCAAUCUCCCUACAAGGAUAGCAGUCGUUGGAUUCAGGACCUGCCAUAAUCCGGUGACUGGAUUUUCAGUAGAAUGCAGUUCUCAUGGUAUACCGCCAUGCAAACAUAGCGGCUAAAAAUGGUUUUCCGGUUGUUCGCAGCAACAACGUUUAUAAGAAAGAUAAACUGAAAUACAACCAGAUGUCUAACGAUAAAAGAACGAUUCACCCAUUCAACGAAACGUGUUGCAACCUGGAAAAAUGGUCAGCAAGAGUUGAUAACAACAGGGAAAAGCGCUUAUGUUCUCAUAAACGAAAAAAGGCGACUGCUGAUUCCCUCUUCUGUUAGGAUGUCGACAGUCAAGAGUGACCGUCAUGCUCACCUUAGAGCCGAAACGAAACAGGUAAUCCUAAAAAUAAAUGUCUGAAACGUAUCGGAUAUUGAAGAAACCCACAUGAACUAAAUUUCAGAAAACAGUGAGUCCUUCACAGAAGAGAAAAGGUCCCUGGCUUCUCUCGUCCUUGAUGAAAUGAUGGAAAGAGGAUUCUGCCAUCCCCAAACAUAAGAGCAGAUGAGGUUACGUGGGCAUGACGGACGAGCUUUAAAGGAGAUCCAGCCCCUCGAGAUGAUCGUAGCCCUCGUCGGCUCUUCAGAAAGCCUUCCCGGCGUGCCGGAGCGUCAUCUGUCAGUGGCUGGGCACAUUCAGGGGUGCAGGUUUUCUCCCAAGUACAAGACAUCUGCCCGUGGGAUGAGUGAGCACAGCGGGAGAGCCAUCGGAAGCCCGGCUGAAACACCCACGGCUUUCGGUGCCAGGGCUGGGGGCGGGGGAGGAACUGCGAGAGACUCUGCUUGGGCAGCCUGGGUUUCCGCGACGAGGAAGGUGGCUGUCCUCCCAAGACUGGCGGUGCAGCAGGACAGACAGCGACCCCGAGGCGCGAGAAGAUGGGCCGAGCGCCGAGAACAGACAGGACUCCUCAGUAAACCCAAAGUUGGCAACCGAGCCGUAAAGCAGAAAGAGAUCACUCAUGGCAUAAAGAACUGACAGUCCAGCUGUCAAGUACAAAGAGAUCUCUGGACACUUGCCACUGCACAGAUCUUACUUAAGUCCUCAGAAUGGAAAGUCCCCAUUCCACUAUCAAAACAUUGGGAGCCAAUGUGAACCAAACCCAGCUAGAGAAGCGGCAAAGCGCAGACAGGCCAACUGCUGAGCAAAUGGACUCAGCCCCCAGCUCGAGUGGCUCCACACAAAAUGGGCAUAGACUUUUCUAGAAGAAGAUAUUAUUUACUUCAUUUGUUAGUGUUUUAUAAUACGUAUCACCCAGUAUGUAGUCAAAAAUUAUAAGACACGAAGAAGCAAGAAAUGCGACCCAUGAAAAUAAAAGGAGAUUUGUGGAACAAUGUCAGAUCGCUCAAUAUAUGGGUAAAGUCUCAGAAGGAGGAGAGAGAAUGGAGAAAAAUAUAUACAAAGAGAUAAUGCCUAAUAAUUUGAUGAAAGACAUCAGCUUAUAAAUACAAGAAGUUGAGCAAACCCCAAAAUAAAAAUCUAGGUAUAUUAUUAUCAAAAAUGUGAAAGAUAAAGAUAAAUUAUAAAAAGCAGUUGGAGGGGAAAAAAGCACAUUAAAUACAGGAAAAGAUGGCUGACCUCACAAAAAUAACGGUGACUAGAUGAAAAUAAAAGAUAAAAUGCUGAAAGAAAAAAACUUAUUGUAGAAUUCUAUAUCCAGUGAAAACGUCCUUCAAAAAUCAGGGCAAAAUAAAGACAUUUUCAGAAAGACAACAGUGGAGAGAAUUUAUCUCCAGCAGACCUGUACUACAAGUUUUUCAAGCUAAAGAGAAAUGAUACCAGGUGAAAUUCAAUGUAUACCGGAAGGGAUG